GAUUUGUGAUUUAGUGUCAUUGACCUUUGGUGGGUUUCUAUCAGAGUGUCGGUGUAUGCGGAUCAUCUAUGGGUUGUUGUUGGGUUGUCCUUCACUGGUCAAUCCAACCGCUUCCCAUCGGUUACUUUGAACAAAUUCGAGUGUUUCAAGCAGGCGUUGUCCGCUGUGAAGAGUCGAGCAUGGAAUAACAUCAUAGGACUUCGGUUCGAUUUUGUUGGUUUCUAGGACUGAAGUAAUGAUUGAUAGGGAUAGUUGGGGGUGCUAGUAUUCAGCGGCCAGAGGUGAAAUUCUCGGAUUCGCUGAAGACUAACUUAUGCGAAAGCAUU
rnacentral:rRNA from 1 species